AUCGAACGCUGGCGGCAUGCCUUACACAUGCAAGUCGAACGGCAGCACGGGAGCAAUCCUGGUGGCGAGUGGCGAACGGGUGAGUAGUAUAUCGGAACGUGCCCAGUCGUGGGGGAUAACGCAGCGAAAGCUGUGCUAAUACCGCAUACGAUCUAUGGAUGAAAGCGGGGGAUCGCAAGACCUCGCGCGAUUGGAGCGGCCGAUAUCAGAUUAGCUAGUUGGUGGGGUAAAGGCCCACCAAGGCGAAGAUCUGUAGCUGGUCUGAGAGGACGACGAGCCACACUGGAACUGAGACACGGUCCAGACUCCUACGGGAGGCAGCAGUGGGGAAUUUUGGACAAUGGGCGCAAGCCUGAUCCAGCAAUGCCGCGUGCAGGAUGAAGGCCUUCGGGUUGUAAACUGCUUUUGUACGGAACGAAACGGUCUGCCCUAAUACGGUGGGCUAAUGACGGUACCGUAAGAAUAAGCACCGGCUAACUACGUGCCAGCCGCCGCGGUAAAAC
rnacentral:rRNA from 1 species